rnacentral:rRNA from 2 species
GCUACACAUGCAGUCGAGGGGUAUAGUUCUUCGGAACUAGAGACCGGCGCACGGGUGCGUAACGCGUAUGCAAUCUACCUUUCACAAAGGGAUAGCCCAGAGAAAUUUGGAUUAAUACCUUAUAGUAAUACGACUUGGCAUCAAGAUGUAUUUAAAGAUUUAUCGGUGAAAGAUGAGCAUGCGUCCCAUUAGCUAGUUGGUAAGGUAACGGCUUACCAAGGCAACGAUGGGUAGGGGUCCUGAGAGGGAGAUCCCCCACACUGGUACUGAGACACGGACCAGACUCCUACGGGAGGCAGCAGUGAGGAAUAUUGGACAAUGGGCGCAAGCCUGAUCCAGCCAUGCCGCGUGCAGGAUGACGGUCCUAUGGAUUGUAAACUGCUUUUAUACAGGAAGAAACACUCGGACGUGUCCGAGCUUGACGGUACUGUAGGAAUAAGGAUCGGCUAACUCCGUGCCAGCAGCCGCGGUAAUACGGAGGAUCCAAGCGUUAUCCGGAAUCAUUGGGUUUAAAGGGUCCGUAGGCGGUCAGAUAAGUCAGUGGUGAAAGCCCAUCGCUCAACGGUGGAACGGCCAUUGAUACUGUCUGACUUGAAUUAUUAGGAAGUAACUAGAAUAUGUAGUGUAGCGGUGAAAUGCUUAGAGAUUACAUGGAAUACCAAUUGCGAAGGCAGGUUACUACUAA